CAAGUCGAACGGCAGCACGGACUUAUCUGGUGGCGAGUGGCGAACGGGUGAGUAAUGUAUCGGAACGUGCCUAGUAGCGGGGAUAACUACGCGAAAGCGUAGCUAAUACCGCAUACGUACUGGGGAAAGCGGGGGGACCUUCGGCUCUCGCACUAGAGCGGCCGAUCAGAGAUUAGCUAGUUGGUGGGGAAAAUGGCUCAUCAGCGACGAUCCGUAGCUGGAGAGGACGACCAGCCACACUGGGACUGGAGACGGGCUCAGAUCACGGGAGGCAGCAGUGGGGAAUUUUGGACAAUGGGGAAAACCGAUCCAGCCAUCCCGCGUGUGCGAUGAAGGCCUCGCUGUAAAGCACUUUUGGCAGGAGCAAUGGCAAUGGGAUAAUACCCCGUGCAACUGACGGUACCUGCAGAAUAGCACCGGCUAACCAUGUGCCAGCAGCUGCGGCAUACGUAGGUGCAAGCGGGCACUGGAAUUACAUUAAGCAGGCGGUUCGGAAAGAAAGAUGUGAAAUCCCAGAGCUAACUUCGGAACUACAUUUUUAACUACCGAGCUAGAGGUCAGGAGGGAGGUGGAAUUCCGCGUGUAGCAGUGAAAUGUGAUAGCAGAGGAACACCGAUGGCGAAGGCAGCUUCUGAUACGACGACGUUUGAUGCGUAACAGCGUGGAGCAAACAGGACAGAUACCCUGGUAGUCCACGCUCCUAAAAACGAUGUCAACUAGCUGUUGGGGCCUCUCGGGCCUGGCAGCGCAGCUAACGCGUGAAGUUGACCGCCUGGGGAGUACGGUCGCAAGAUUAAAACCUCAAAGGAAUUGACGGGACCCGCACAAGCGGUGGAUGAUGUGGAUUAAUUCGAUGCAACGCGAAAACCUUACCUACCCUUGACAUGCUGAAUCCCGAAGAGAUUUGGGAGUGUUGCAAGAGAACCGAACACAGGUACAUGGCUGUCGUCAGCUCGUGUCGUGAGAUGUUGGGUUAAGUCCCGCAACGAGCGUAACCCUUGUCAUUAUUGGCUACGAAAGGGCACCUGACGAGACUGCCGCACAACCGAGGAAGGUGGGGAUGACGUCAAGUCCUCAUGGCUCCGCAUGGCUUCACACGUCAUACAAUGGUCGGGACAGAGGGUCGCCAACCCGCGAGGGGAGCCAAUCCCAGAAACCCGAUCGUAGUCCGGAUCGCAGUCUGCAACUCGGACUGCGCAGUCGGAAUCGCUAGUAAUCGCGGAUCACAUGUCGCGGCAAUGAUGUUCCUGGCCUGGUGGGCGACACCGCCCGUCACACCAUGGGGAGUGGGUUUUACCAGAAGUAGUUAGCCUAACCGUGGGCGUGGCGAUUACCACGGUAGGAUUCAAGGACUGGUGGCGUCAACAAGGU
rnacentral:rRNA from 1 species